CCUACGGGUGGCUGCAGUGAGGAAUAUUGGUCAAUGGACGAGAGUCUGAACCAGCCAAGUAGCGUGAAGGAUGACUGCCCUAUGGGUUGUAAACUUCUUUUAUAUGGGAAUAAAACGUUCCACGUGUGGGAUUUUGUAUGUACCAUAUGAAUAAGGAUCGGCUAACUCCGUGCCAGCAGCCGCGGUAAUACGGAGGCUCCGAGCGUGAUCCGGAUUUAUUGGGUUUAAAGGGAGCGUAGGUGGAUUGUUAAGUCAGUUGUGAAAGUUUGCGGCUCAACCGUAAAAUUGCAGUUGAAACUGGCAGUCUUGAGUACAGUAGAGGUUGGCGGAAUUCGUGGUGUAGCGGUGAAAUGCUGAGAUAUCACGAAGAACUCCGAUUGCGAAGGCAGUUCACUGGACUGCAACUGACACUGAGGCUCGAAAGUGUGGGUAUCAAACAGGAUUAGAUACCCUUGUAGUC
rnacentral:rRNA from 1 species